rnacentral:lncRNA from 1 species
AGAAACAGAAGUGUAGAUAAGAGAUGUGUCCCAGGGCUGACGCAAUACAAAUUUCAAGGCUGUGGAACCAGGAGAAGGUCUGAGGAACGGAGCUCCCGGAAGUAAAGGCAUUGCCUCACAUUUGAGUGCAUGAGGAGAAGUAAGGAAGAUUCUAUCACACUCUUGCUGUCAAUGGUUACAAGCCAUAGCUCAGAACACCUGGCAACAGUACUUAAGGAAGGAAAGGUUUGCACUGGCCCGCAGUCUGAAGGAGGACAGAGGACACAAGGCAAUGAGAGCAGCUCUAGGUGUAGCCGUGGGAGCCCGAUAUAGCUGGACGCGCUGCAUCUGAAGCAUGACUUCAGGAUUUGUGGUCAGAAGCACGAGGUGGAGAAGUCCUGAUACAAUCUUUGUACUGUACGGUUGCCGUCUGGACUUCAUUGACUAUCCCGGAGCGAUCCAGCACAAGUGACAAGUGAAGACCUUGGCUGUGUUUCAGAAGCACAAUUACAACUCUUGGGGUAAAGAGCCUCAGCGACAAGGCCCAGGAAAGCAGGUGUAUUGAGAAUUAGAGAGACUCGGAGCGGGCCCCAGAGGAGAGGUAGGGAGUGGUCCUGGCAGCUGUUGGAUGAAGCAGGAUUCAUCAUGUUUGAAAGAUUCUUCUCGGGGUGUUAUACCCCAAGAGACUGUUGUUCACCGAGUGGAAUACAGCAUCCAAGACCCUAUGAGGGCCUGAGACUCUCAGAGGAAAUUUCUUAUAACACGAUAUUUUUCUCCCAGUUCCCCCAGUAAAGCUUCGCUACUCAAAUGAUCGUUAGCUUGAGAGACCCUGUAGAGCAGGCCUUACCACCUCUGCAAACAGACUCAAAAGGUUAAGAUGGUGCUUGAGAGCCAGACGGCCAAGGGUCUGCA